GUUACGGGGUAUCACAUGUACUGUUCUGACCUCUGCAGAAUUAUGAAACAAAGACCUAAUUGUGGCCCAGAUGUUUCUUACAACAGAGUCUACCCUACAAGAUCUUUACUUACCAGCAAAGGGACAGGCCAGUACUACAACACAGGGCAUGCUCCUGCAUGCCGCCUGCUACUUAGUGCCAACAUUUCCCAGAGAUGGAGCAGCACUUGUGAGCCAAAUGGUCACCCCACAAAGUGAAAUUCUGCAGAUAUAGCAAUAGUACACAGUUCUGCCUCUGUUCCUCAUGAAAUAAAAAGGCAGACGGUCCGUUUCCUGUAAUGUCACUUCCGUGAGCUGACUAUGAGGUGUAUACCCAUCUGACCACGCUUUGGGCUUCACUGCUUGUAGAUAAAGCCACAAUAAGCAAUUUCAAAGGUGAACAGGACUGUGAUGGUGUGCCGUGAGGCAGCGCCCAGUGGUGACAAGGAGGACAAGCCUGGACAUCAAUGCCGAGCCAAAAGGCAGCAAGGGAGCCUGGGAUCUGAGGAAGGACGUGCUGAGGGGAAG
rnacentral:lncRNA from 1 species